AGGCAGGAAGGCUCGGCAUGGUCCGCACCAUUUAGCUGAGAAGUAGAGGAGGACAGUCUUCCCAACAAGUUCUGAUACAGGAACCUUCGCAUUGAAAUAGCAGAUCACAAAGUCCAAAUCACCAAUGACCAGAAGGGACUCCAAGGUCUGUAACUCUGCUUUAGCCUUUGCCUUCUCAGCAAGAAUUUCCAUCUUCUCUGCAGUGAAAGGAAACCCUUCCCAUGCAUCUUGACCAUGCUCAUCAAUUAUGUCAGCAACAUUGUUGUUCAGUGUCUUCCCAUCAGGACCAAUCAGGACAAGUGUAGGCAGGCCUCUAAGCUCAAAAUAACGAGCCAGCUUCUCACCCAUCUUGUCUUCCUGAGGGAUGGCAAGCCAAGGCAUGCCUGCAAAACUCUCAUUGGAUAAUUCCUCAUCACUGUCCAAGGAUACAGCUACAACUUCAAAUUUCUCCCCUACUUCUUUGAGUUUCUCAUAAAAUUUAGCAAGCAAUGAGGUAAAUUGGACUACUGGGCCAUAGCCAUUCACCACAAAGCACAAACCAACGUACUUGCCCUCAAGGUCAGAGAUGGGUACCUAGUCUCCCUUGUUCGAAAGUAAGUAGUCGCGGGUGGGUGUACCAAGCACACUUUGAACAGUUUGAUUAUCCUUAGCUGCCUUUUCCUGUUCCUUCAAUUCAUUGAUCCUCUCUGUUGUAAAAGGGUAAGCUUCUGUACCAUGCACAGUCACAAGCUCAACUCCAUCUUCCGUAUAAACUUCACCAGAUGUUGCAUUAAGGAUGACGAGGUGUGGAAUGCCUCUCACC
rnacentral:sRNA from 1 species